rnacentral:pre_miRNA from 18 species
CUACUGAUUAUGAUUAGUCAGCAAUCGGAUGGUUUGUUUUAGCCUGAGCUAUGUGUUAUUGCAUAUUCAUAGCUACUUGCUAAAACAUACCAAUCGAGUUGACUGACAUUCUUUGUUA